rnacentral:lncRNA from 1 species
CAAACACCACCAAUGCUAUGAUCAACCGCAGUACAGGAACUGGGAUGCGGGGGAAGAGAGUAUCAAAAUAGUACUGCAAUAGAACACCAACUUGUAAGUAUUUGGCUCAACACCUAGAAAGAAAUAUAGACAAGAUAGAAGAGCAUGAAUUAUAUAGUCAUCAUAAAAUUCAUUUUAACUUUAUGUAGUAGCACAACCCUAUUCCUAGGUUUCUGACUUUCAAACUUUCAAACAAAUAACAAAAGCAUUAAUAUAACAGUCAUAUACAACAAUGAAAUUUCCAAUAUUGCAUUAAUAUAACAGUUUAAGACAACUAGCAAGAUAUUUAAAAACUUACUGUAUCACAUACAUUUCCUUUGUGUCAUAUCCUUCGUUGACCCUUAAAGAAAGAGAAAUUAAAACAUAAAAUCAGCACCAUCUGUUACAAUCAAUUCUGCCUGUUAAAGAAAGAGAUAUUUGAUUUUGUUAGUUAUUAUAUGAGUAAGAUUUAUUCUAUAAAAAAAUUAGUGAUAUAUUUCCAAAAUUAUAAUUAAAAAUAAAUGUUAUAAUUAGUAUCCAAUAAACUUAAUUAGGAAUAGAGAAGAGAUAAUUGAGAAAAACUAUUUUUAAUUAGAAACAUACAUAUAUUAAGCAAGUGAGAUAUUAUUUUUAAUUAGAGAAUUUAAAUUAAACUAGAGGUAGUUUUUAGAAGUUUGCAAUGAUGAAUCAAAAUUUUAUAUAUAUAUAUAUAUAUAUAUAUAUAUAUAUAUAUAUAUAUAUAUUAAAAUGAUUUAUAAAAUGACUUGAAAAAAAUCUAAAAUAUGUACUACUUUAGUAGUCAAUUAGUUCAAACAAACAAUUUAGUAGUUCAUACAAAAAAUUAGAAAUGCACUUUCUACAAGAAUCAUCUAUACAUCUUAGCAACAUCUUAAACAGAAUGUAGGCAAUCAAUCACCUGCAGUAAAAAGAUUCCUAACAGCAGCAGCGACGUGGCCAUCUGCUAAAUCCAUAACUUGGAUAAUAAAUAAAUAAAAUCAACAUCUGAAAUAUAAGUAAGUUUUACAAUGUUAAAGCAUCAUGACCUACCUAGAAACAUACAAACGCCGGCAGAACAAGAAUUUACACUCAAAGGCAUCUAAACAACUUGGAAAUCACAUAAAUCAUAUUCAGGUUAGGUUGUUGUAUAUAUAUAUAUAUAUAUAUAUAUAUAUCUAAAAUAUCAAUUCCUUUCAAAAGCGGACUCAACCAAGGGACUAAAAGCGGACUAAGCUUAUUGAGUGCUGAAGCAUGAAAAGGACACGCGGGUCAAAAAGCGGACAUGGGUCAAAAAAAGAACCCAUGCCAUAUUAGUACACUUCACACCGCUCUCUCUCCUACAAAGAGAAUCGGAAGCUAAAGAUUCCUACUUAAUUUUGUAAUUUCUAUUUGAUUUCAAAGAAAUCUAGGUUUGUUUUGGGAAAAGUUGCAACGUAUGAAGAGUCUGCUUCCUCAACCGUCGGACCUGUUUAAGUUUUGAUUUUGCUCUGCGUUCUUCAUCUGUUUCCAGCUUGAGUUGUUCCAUCUCUUUGCAUAAUUUAUCUGAGAAUUGGUUUAUUUGGUCGAUUGUUCAGGCUAACUAGAGUACAAUUACUUUGUAAGUUGUAACCAAGUGAGAUCUUGAUACUCUGCCAUUUAACCAUUGAGUUCUUGUUCUCAAUUUUAUGAUCGGACAUUUCUACAAACAGAAGCUAGUUGAGCCCACGAUUGAAGAUUGGGAAAAUUCGUUAUAUUAGUAGAAAAAUAGAACAAUAGGUGCUCAAUACAAAAAAACAACAACCAAGUCUUCAAGAACCUAAACCGUACAAAGCAGCUACCUCUUUUUUCUGUGAUCCUCUCUGAAAUGUUCUUGGUAGAAUGUAUGUAUAUAAGAAUGAAUGUAUUAGUUGUAGGUAAAACUAUUAGUUGUAGAUGAAACUAUAUAUAUAUUAUGAACAUAAAUUUACACUAAAAGGCAUCUAAACUACUUGGAAAACACAUAGAUUAUAUUCAGGUUAGGUUUCAGGUUCGGACUCCCGGACCGGACCAAAAUCUGGAACCCUUUUUUUUUAAUUUUUAAAACAACUAAAAAAAAUAAAUAAAUAAUUAUGGAACUUGAAUUUUUACAUAAUACAGUGUUUUGACUGUGAUACAUAUACCAAAACAUGUAUGUACAGUCUGUGCAGACUGAACAUACAUUUUUUGGUAUAGGUAUCCAAAUCACGCCCAAAACAUUGUAUUAUGAAAAAAUUUCAGUUCCAUAAAAUACUAAAUAUUUUUUUUAAGUUGUUUAAAAAAAAAGCAAAAUAAAAAAUAAAAAAUGGUCCGUUUCUGUAUAUAUAUAUAUAUAUAUAUAUAUAUAUAUUACGACUGUAGAUGAAUGAGAUAAACAGAGCAGAUUAUUUACCGAAAGGGAAGCAAAAACAAGAACCCAACACGUCUUGUAUAAAGUGAUUGAUCCGAGAUGGAUCACAGCAGAAAACCUAUACCAAAAUCAUUCGAUAAAGAAAACCCAUAAUUUCAAUAAAUUUCCCAAAUGGGUUGGAAGAAGAAAAAAAAUCAAUAUAACGAAUUAGUUCAACAUACUCAUCCUUACAAAAUAAUUUCUCAAAAUUAUCCUUAUUCCUAAUAUUGCCCUGCAACCAAACCAACACCACAUAAUAUUUUACUAUAAAAGGAAAAAAGAAAAAAACAAGAAAAAUUACCAACUAAAUUAAAAAUUCAAAAAGAGCAAAAUUAAAGAAAAUUAUCAAUUCAAAAUGUUCAACUAAGUCUUCAAGAACCCUAAAUCGUACAGACCAGCUACCUCUUCUUUCUGUGAUCCUCUCUAAAAUUUUCUUCCCUCUCAACUUCGGUCUUGAAACGGUUAUGACAUUUGCCACAUUCAAACUUUCUCCAUGGCUUGGAAUGUACGGAGCGGAUGUGCUGUAAGAAGCAAUUAAUACUGCCAAAAGCCCUCAUACAUUCAAAGCAAUAGGAAGGUUCCAUCGCAUGUUUGAAAAAAUAGUAAAAAGAUGGAUUGAAGAAUGUAAGAGAAAGAACAGAGUGCGUUGAAACUAACAAUAUUUGAAUGGAAGAUUCAAGAAUAUGGACUCUGUUAUUUCUCUUCCAUUUUUCAACGCACUCUGUUGUUUCUUUUCUAUUUUUCAAUCCAUCUCUCUACUAUUCUUUCGAACAUGCGAUGAAACCUCCAUAUUGCUAUGAAUGUACGAGGGCUUUUGGCAGUAAUAAUGGUCUCUUACACCACAUCCGCUUCGUACAUUCCAAACCAUGGAGAAAGUUUGAAUGUGGCAAAUGUCAUAACCGCUUAGCUGAGGGGGAAGAAUAUUUCAGAGAGAAUCACAGAAAGAAGAGGUAGCUGCUCUGUACAAUUUAGGGUUCUUGAAGACAUAGUUGGAUAUCUUGAAUUGAUAAUUUUCUUUAAUUUUGCUCUUCUUGAAUUUUAAUUUUAGUUGUUUUUUUUUCUUGUUUUCUUUUAUAGUGAAAUAUUAUGUGGUGUUGGUUUGGUUGCAGGGCGAUACUAGGAAUAAGAAUGAUUUGGAGAAAUUAUUUUCCAAGAAUGAAUACGUUGAAUUAAUUCUUUAUAUUGAUUUUUUUUUCGAAGAACAAAAAUUACCAAAUUAAAAAUUCAAAAAGAGUAAAAUUAAAGAAAAUCAGCAUUUCAAAAUGUCCAACUUUGUUUUCAAAAACCCUAAACCGUACAGAGCAGCUACCUCUUCUUUCUGUGAUCCUCUCUGAAAUUUUCUUCCCUCUCAACUUCGGUCUUGAAGCGGUUAUGGCAUUUGCCACAUUAAAACUUUCUCCAUCGCUUGGAAUGUACGGAGCGUAUGUGCUGUAAGAAGCCAUUAAUACUGCGAAAAGCCCUCAUACAUCCAAAGCAAUAUGGAGGUUCCAUCGCAUGUUUGAAAGAAUAGUAAAAAGAUGGAUUGAAGAAUGUAAUAGAAAGAACAAAGUGCGUUGAAACUAACAAUAUUUGAAUGGAAGAUUCAAGAAUAUGGACUGUUGUUUCUCUACCAUUUUUCAAUCCAUCUCUCUACUAUUUUUUCGAACAUGCGAUGGAACCUCCCUAUUACUUUGAAUGUACGAGGGCUUUUUGGCAGUAAUAAUGGCCCCUUACACCCCAUCCGCUUCGUACAUUCCAAACCAUGUAGAAAGUUUGAAUGUGGCAAAUGCCAUAACCGCUUCAAGAACGAAGUUGAGGGGGAAGAAUAUUUCAGAGAGGAUCACAGAAAGAAGAGGUAGCUGCUCUGUACAGUUUAGGGUUCUUGAAAACUUAGUUAGACAACUUGAAUUGGUAAUUUUAUUUAAUUUUGCUCUUGAAUUUUUAUUUUAGUUGUUUAUUUUUGUUCUUGUUUUUUUUUCUUUCUUUCUUUUAUAGUGAAAUAUUAUGUGGUGUUGGUUUGGUUGCAGGGCGAUAUUAGGAAUAAGAAUGAUUUUGAGAAAUUAUUUUCCAAGAAUGAAUACGUUGAAUUAAUUAUUUAUAUUGAUUUUUUUUUUCGAAGAAAAAAAAUACCAACUAAAUUAAAAAUUCAAAAAGAGCAAAAUUAAAGAAAAUUAACAAUUCAAAAUGUCCAACUAAGUUUUCAAGAACCCUAAACCGUACAGAGCAACUACCUCUUCUUUCUGUGAUCCUCUCUGAAAUUUUCUUCCCUCUCAACUUCGGUCUUGAAACGGUUAUUGCAUUUGCCACAUUCAAAAUUUCUCCAUAGCUUGGAAUGUACGGAGCGGAUGUUCUGUAAGAAGCCAUUAAUACUGCCAAAAGCCCUCAUACAUUCAAAGCAAUAGGGAGGUUCCAUUGCAUGUUCGAAAAAAUAGUAAAAAGAUGGAUUGAAGAAUGGAAGAGAAAGAACAGAGUGCAUUGAAACUAACAAUAUUUGAAUGGAAGAUUCAAGAAUAUGGACUCUGUUAUUUCUCUUCCAUUUUUCAACGCACUCUGUUGUUUUUUUUCCAUUUUUCAAUCCAUCUCUCUACUAUUCUUUCGAACAUGCGAUAAACCUCCAUAUUGCUAUGAAUGUACGAGGACUUUUGGCAGUAAUAAUGUCCUGUUACACCACAUCCGCUUCGUACAUUCCAAACCAUGGAGAAAGUUUGAAUGUUGCAAAUGUCAUAACCUCUUAGCUGAGGGGGAAGAAUAUUUCAGAGAGAAUCACAGAAAGAAGAGGUAGCUGCUCUGUACAAUUUAGGGUUCUUGAAGACAUAGUUAGAUAUCUUGAAUUGAUAAUUUUCUUUAAUUUUGCUCUUCUUGAAUUUUAUUUUAGUUGUUUAUUUUUCUUGUUUUUUUUUCUUUAUUUCUUUUAUAGUGAAAUAUUAUGUGGUGUUGGUUUGGUUGCAGGGCGAUAUUAGGAAUAAGAAUGAUUUGGAGAAAUUAUUUUCCAAGAAUGAAUACGUUGAAUUAAUUCUUUAUAUUGAUUUUUUUUUUCGAAGAACAAAAAUUACCGACUAAAUUAAAAAUUCAAAAAGAACAAAAUUAAAGAAAAUCACCAUUUCAAAAUGUCCAACUAAGUUUUCAAGAACCCUAAACCGUACAGAGCAGCUACCUCUUCUUUCUGUGAUCCUCUUUGAAAUUUUCUUCCCUCUCAACUUCGGUCUUGAAGCGGUUAUGGCAUUUGCCACAUUAAAACUUUCUCCAUGGCUUGGAAUGUACGGAGUGUAUGUGCUGUAAGAAGCCAUUAAUACUGUCAAAAGCUCUCAUACAUUCAAAGCAAUAUGGAGGUUUCAUCGCAUGUUCGAAAGAAUAGUAAAAAGAUGGAUUGAAGAAUGUAAGAGAAAGAACAAAGUGCAUUGAAACUAACUAUAUUUGAAUGGAAGAUUCAAGAAAAUGGACUGUGUUGUUUCUCUUCCAUUUUUCAACGCACUCUGUUGUUUCUCUUCCAUUUUUCAAUCCAUCUCUUUACUAUUUUUUCGAACAUGCGAUGGAACCUCUCUAUUACUUUGAAUGUACGAGGGCUUUUGACAGUAAUAAUGGCCUCUUACACCCCAUCCGCUUCGUACAUUCCAAACCAUGAAGUUUGAAUGUGGCAAAUGCCAUAACCGCUUCAAAAACGAAGUUGAGGGGGGAGAAUAUUUCAGAGAGGAUCACAGAAAGAAGAGGUAGCUGCUCUGUACAGUUUAGGGUUCUUGAAGACUUAGUUGGACAUCUUGAAUUGAUAAUUUUAUUUAAUUUUGCUAUUCUUGAAAUUUUAAUUUAGUUGUUCAUUUUUCUUCUAUAGUGAAAUAUUAUGUGGUGUUGGUUUGGUUGCAGGGCGAUAUUAGGAAUAAGAAUGAUUUGGAGAAAUUAUUUUCCAAGAAUGAAUAUGUUGAAUUAAUUUUUUAUUCUCUUCGAACCCAUUUGGGAAAUUUAUUGAAAUUAUGGGUUUCCUAAUAUCGCAUUGCAACCAACACCACAUAAUAUUUCACUAUAAAAGGAAAAAUGAAAAAAAAACAAGAAGAAAAAUUACCAACUAAAUUAAAAAUUUUAAAAGAGCAAAAUUAAAAAAAAUUACCAAUUCAAAAUGUCCAACUAAGUUUUCAAGAACCCUAAACCGUACAGAGAAGCUACCUCUUCUUUCUGUGAUCCUCUUUGAAAUUUUCUUCCCUCCCAACUUCGGUCUUUAAACGGUUAUGGCAUUUGCCACAUUCAAACUUUCUUCAUGGCUUGGAAUGUACGGAGCGGAUGUGUUGUAAGAAGCCAUUAUCACUGCCAAAAGCCCUCGUACAUUCAAAGCAAUAGGGACGUUCCAUCGCAUGUUCGAAAGAAUAGUAAACAGAUGGAUUGAAGAAUGGAAGAGAAAGAACAGAGUGCGUUGAAACUAACAAUAUUUGAAUGGAAGAUUCAAGAAUAUGGACUCUGUUGUUUCUCUUCCAUUUUUAACGCACUCUGUUGUUUCUCUUCCAUUUUUCAAUCCAUAUCUCUCUACUAUUCUUUCGAACAUGCGAUGGAACUCCCUAUUACUUUGAAUGUACUAGGGCUUAUGGCAGUAAUAAUGGCCUCUUACACCCCAUCCGCUUCGUAAUGGAGAAAGUUUGAAUGUGGCAAAUGUCAUAACCGCUUCAAGAACGAAGCUGAGGGGGAAGAAUAUUUUAGAGAAGAUCACAGAAAGAAGAGGUACCUGCUCUGUACAGUUUAGGGUUCUUGAAGACUUAGUUGAACAUCUUAAAUUGAUAAUUUUCUUUAAUUUUACUCUUGAAUUUUUAUUUUAGUUGUUUAUUUUUGUUCUUGUUUUUUUUUAUUUCUUUCUUUUAUAGUGAAAUAUUAUGUGGUGUUGGUUUGGUUGCAGGGCGAUAUUAGGAAUAAGAAUGAUUUGGAGAAAUUAUUUUCCAAGAAUGAAUACAUUGAAUUAAUUCUUUAUAUUGAUUUUUUUUUCGAAUAAGAAAAAUUACCAACUAAAUUAAAAAUUCAAAAAGAACAAAAUUAAAAAAAAAUUACCAAUUCAAAAUAUCCAACUAAGUUUUCCAUAACCCUAAACCGUACAGAGAAACUACCUCUUCUUUCUGUGAUCCUUUCUGAAAUUUUCUUCCCUCUCAACUUUGGUCUUGAAACGGUUAUGGCAUUUGCCACAUUCAAACUUUCUCCAUGGCUUGGAAUGUAUGGAGCGGAUGUGCUGUAAGAAGCCAUUAAUACUGCCAAAAGCCCGCAUACAUUCAAAGCAAUAGGAAUGUUCCAUCGCAUGUUCGAAAGAAUAGUAAAAAGAUGGAUUGAAGAAUAGAAGAGAAAGAACAGAGUGCGUUGAAACUAACAAUAUUUGAAUGGAAGAUUCAAGAAUAUGGACUCUGUUAUUUCUCUUCCAUUUUUAACGCACUGUUGUUUCUUUUCCAUUUUUCAAUCCAUCCCUCUACUAUUUUUUCGAACAUGCGAUGAAACCUCCAUAUUGCUAUGAAUGUACGAGGGCUUUUGGCAGUAAUAAAUGGACUUUUACACCACAUCCGCUUCAUACAUUUCGUACAUUCCAAACCAUGGAGAAAGUUUGAAUGUGGCAAAUGUCAUAACCGCUUACCUGAGGGGGAAGAAUAUUUCAGAGAGUAUCACAGAAAAAAGAGGUAGCUGCUCUGUACAAUUUAGGGUUCUUGAAGACAUAGUUGGAUAUUUUGAAUUGAUAAUUUUCUUUAAUUUUGCUCUUCUUGAAUUUUUAUUUUAGUUGUUUUUUUUUCUUUAUUUCUUUUAUAGUGAAAUAUUAUGUGGUGUUGGUUUGGUUGUAGGGCGAUAUUAGGAAUAAGAAUGAUUUGGAGAAAUUAUUUUCCACGAAUGAAUAUGUUGAAUUAAUUCUUUAUAAUGAUUUUUUUUUCGAAGAAGAAAAAUUACCAACUAAAUUAAAAAUUCAAAAAAAAACAAAAUUAAAGAAAAUUAUCAAUUCAAAUUGUUCAACUAAGUUUUCAAGAACCCUAAACCGUACAGAGCAGCUACCUCUUUUUUCUGUGAUCCUCUCUGAAAUUUUUUUACCUCUCAACUUUGGUCUUGAAGCAGUUAUGACAUUUGCCACAUUCAAACUUUCUCCAUUGCUUGGAAUGUACGGAGCGGAUGUGCUGUAAGAAGCCAUUAAUACUGCCAAAAGCCCUCUUACAUUCAAAGGGAGGUUCCAUCGCAUAUUCGAAAGAAUAGUAAAAAGAUGGAUUGAAGAAUGGAAGAGAAAGAACAGAGUACGUUGAAACUAACAAUAUUUGAAUGGAAGAUUCAAGAAUAUGGACUCUGUUAUUUCUCUUCCAUUUUUUAACGCACUGUUGUUUCUUUUCCAUUUUUCAAUCCAUCCCUCUACUAUUCUUUCGAACAUGCGAUGAAACCUCCAUAUUGCUAUGAAUGUACGAGGGCUUUUGGCAGUAAUAAUGGCCUUUUACACCACAUCCGCUUCGUACAUUUCGUACAUUCCAAACCAUGGAGAAAGUUUGAAUGUGGCAAAUGCCAUAACCGCUUACUUGAGGGGAAGAAUAUUUCAGAGAGUAUCACAGAAAAAAGAGGUAGUUGCUCUGUACAAUUUAAGGUUCUUGAAGACAUAGUUGGAUAUCUUGAAUUGAUAAUUUUCUUUAAUUUUGCUCUUCCUGAAUUUUUAUUUUAGUUGUUUAUUUUUCUUCUUGUUUUUCUUUCUUUAUUUCUUUUAUAGUGAAAUAUUAUGUGGUGUUGGUUUGGUUGCAGGGCGAUAUUAGGAAUAAGAAUGAUUUGGAGAAAUUAUUUUCCAAGAAUGAAUACGUUGAAUUAAUUCUUUAUAAUGAUUUUUUUUUCGAAGAAGAAAAAUUACCAACUAAAUUAAAAAUUCAAAAAAAACAAAAUUAAAGAAAAUUAUCAAUUCAAAAUGUUCAACUAAGUUUUCAAGAACCCUAAACCGUACAGAGCAGCUACCUCUUUUUUCUGUGAUCCUCUCUGAAAUUUUUUUACCUCUCAACUUCGGUCUUAAAGCGGUUAUGACAUUUGCCACAUUCAAUCUUUCUCCAUUGCUUGGAAUGUACGGAGCGGAUGUGCUGUAAGAAGCCAUUAAUACUGCCAAAAGUUCUCUUACAUUCAAAGCAAUAGGGAUGUUCCAUCGCAUGUUCGAAAAAAUAGUAAAAAGAUGGAUUGAAGAAUGGAAGAGAAAGAACAGAGUGCGUUGAAACUAACAAUAUUUGAAUGAAAGAUUCAAGAAUAUGGACUCUGUUAUUUCUCUUCCAUUUUUUAACGAACCCUAUUGUUUCUUUUCCAUUUUUCAAUCCAUCUCUCUACUAUUCUUUCGAACAUGCGAUGAAACCUCUAUAUUGCUUUGAAUGUACGAGGACUUUUGACAGUAAUAAUGGCCUUUUACACCACCUCCCCUUCGUACAUUUCGUACAUUCCAAACAAUGGAGAAAGUUUGAAUGUGGCAAAUGUCAUAACCGCUUACCUGAGGGGGAAGAAUAUUUCAGAGAGGAUCGCAGAAAAAAGAGGUAGCUGCUCUGUACAAUUUAGGGUUCUUGAAGACAUAGUUAGACAUCUUGAAUUGAUAAUUUUCUUUAAUUUUGCUUUUUCUUGAAUUUUUAUUUUAGUUGUUUAUUUUUCUUCUUGUUUUUUUUUUCUUUAUUUCUUUUAUAGUGAAAUAUUAUGUGGUGUUGGUUUAGUUGCAGGGCGAUAUUAGGAAUAAGAAUGAUUUGGAGAAAUUAUUUUCCAAGAAUGAAUACGUUGAAUUAAUUCUUUAUAAUGAUUUUUUUUUCGAAGAAGAAAAAUUACCAACUAAAUUAAAAAUUCAAAAAGAACAAAAUUAAAGAAAAUUACCAAUUCAAAAUGUCCAACUAAGUUUUCAAGAACCCUAAACCGUACAGAGAAGCUACCUCUUCUUUCUGUGAUCCUUUCUGAAAUUUUUUUACCUCUCAACUUCUGUCUUGAAGCGGUUAUGACAUUUGCCACAUUCAAACUUUCUCAAUGGCUUGGAAUGUACGGAGCGGAUGUGCUGUAAGAAGCCAUUAAUACUGCCAAAAGCCCUCUUACAUUCAAAGCAAUAGGGAGGUUCCAUCACAUGUUCGAAAGAAUAGUAAAAAGAUGGAUUGAAGAAUGGAAGAGAAAAAACAGUGCGUUGAAACUAACAAUAUUUGAAUGGAAGAUUCAAGAAUAUGGACUAUGUUAUUUCUCUUCCAUUUUUCAACACACUGUUGUUUCUUUUCAAUUUUUCAAUCCAUUUCUCUACUAUACUUUCGAACAUGCGAUGAAACCUCUAUAUUGCUUUGAAUGUACGAGGACUUUUGGCAGUAAUAAUGGCCUCUUACACCACAUCCGCUUCGUACAUUCAAAACCAUAGAGAAAGUUUGAAUGUGAAAAAUGUCAUAACCGUUUCAAGAACGAAGCUGAGGGGGAAGAAUAUUUCAGAGAGGAACCGCUUCAAGAACGAAGCUGAGGGGGAAGAAUAUUUCAGAGAGAAUCACAGAAAGAAGAGGUAGCUGCUCUGCACAAUUUAGGGUUUUUGAAAACAUAGUUGGAUAUCUUGAAUUGAUAAUUUUCUUUAAUUUUGCCCUUCUUGAAUUUUUAAUUUAGUUCAUUUUUCUUCUUGUUUUUUUACAGUGAAAUAUUAUGUGGUGUUGGUUUGGUUGCAGGGCGAUAUUAGGAAUAAGAAUGAUUUGGAGAAAUUAUUUUCCGAGAAUGAAUACGUUGAAUUAAUUCUUUAUAUUGAUUUUUUUUUCGAAUAAGAAAAAUUACCAACUAAAUUAAAAAUUAAAAAAGAACAAAAUUAAAGAAAAUCACAAAUUCAAAUUGCUUGGAAUGUAUGGAGCGGAUGUGUUGUAAGAAGCCAUUAAUACUGCCAAAAGCCCUUGUACAUUCAAAGCAAUAGGGAGGUUCCAUCGCAAGAGAUGGAUUGAAGAAUGGAAGAGAAAGAACAGAAAAGAAAUAACAGAGUGCGUUGAAACUAACAAUAUUUGAAUGGAAAAUUCAAGAAUAUGGAACCUGUUGUUUCUCUUCCAUUUUUCAACGCACUCUGUUGUUUCACUUCUAUUUUUCAAUCCAUCUCUCUACUAUUCUUUCGAACAUGCGAUGGAACCUCCCUAUUGUUUUGAAUGUACGAUGGGUACGAUGGCUUUUGGCAGUAAUAAUGACCUCUUACACUACAUCCGCUUCAUACAUUCCAAACCAUGAAGAAAGUUUGAAUGUGGCAAAUGUCAUAACCGCUUCAAGAACGAAGCUGCGGGGGAAGAAUAUAUUAGAGAGGAUCAUAGAAAGAAGAGGUAGUUGCUCUGUACAGUUUAGGGUUUUUGAAGACUUAGUUGGACAUCUUGAAUUGGUAAUUUUCUUUAAUUUUGCUCUUCUUGAAUUUUUAAUUUAGUUGUUCAUUUUUCUUUUUCUUUUUUGUUUCUUUCUUUUAUAGUGAAAUAUUAUGUGGUGUUUGUUUGGUUGCAGUGCUAUAUUAGGAAGAAGAAUGAUUUGGAAAAAUUAUUUUCCAAGAAUAAAUACGUUGAAUUAAUUCUUUAUAUCUUCCUUUCCCCUCCUUAACCUUAUAAAUGCAGCUGAAAGUUAUAAUGGAUGUUAACUGCUUCCACCGCUCAAAUCUGUUACAAUUUCAAAUUGAUCUUUUGCUGACCUCAUGAUUGACAACUAGCUUCUGCUGACAUCACUCUAACUAACUUCUUAUUGCUUAUUACAUCAUCCUAAUCAUUCUAACAAUCUUUAAUUCAAUUCUAAUUACACCUGUAAUUUGAAUAAUAGUCAUAACAUACACAUACACCUUAGAUAACACUUUAAGGGAGAACCCAAAUAAAGCCUUGAAGGGAUAACACUUUAAAGCUGUGUGAUAAUUUGUAUUAAAGCCACAUUGUCAAUUUCCUUGGUUGCUCAUUGCACAUACACGUUAGAUAACAUUCCAAGCACAUGUUAAGUCGUUUUUCCUGACCAUCAGAUUGUGGGUGCUAAGAUGAGCUCAUACAUAACUUCACUCCCAAUUGCUGAAAUAGGGACUGCCAAAAUGUACUCAUAAUUUUUUUAUCCCUAUCACUAACAUUUGUUUGAGGCAACCCAUGCAACCUAUAUAUGUUGUUGCUCCAAUCACUAAAGUGUGUCCAAUCCUGCACAGAAAAGAGUAAACACUGAAAGCUUGACGGUCUGGGCCGCCGGGGGAUAGCUCUAGUGUGAGAAUAAGUACAGACUGAUAUAAUGUUAACAAUGGAGGCUUAACGUUCUAGUGCUACAAAGUAAUAAUUUGCAUGUACCUUGUAAUCAGAGAAAAAAGCCUUGUAUUUAUAAUGUUCUCAUCACCUUCAUGAAAUCCUUGAUAGGAUUGUACCAAAUCUCCUAGAAUUAAGGAAGUUGGUUUAUAACCCAAUACUUCUUUCCAUAUCCAGAGACCAAGUAUAAUUAGGAACCUUAAUCCACAAAUCCCCCGUCUACCAAAACAACCCGUUGUCCAAGCCCACAUAAUACCAUAUGGAUAAUAGCCCACUGUAUUUCAUAGGCCCAAAUAUCCUUGGCCCAACAUUACCCCCCAAUCUUCCAUCAAAUAGAAUAUUUGACGGAAGAAUAUACAAAACAUGGCCCAACAAGCAACAAUAACCCAAAACAAGGCCCAAUAUCCGGAAAAUCCAAACAUCAGAUAGUAAUCCAACCUUUCAAAUCCAUCAUCCAAACGCCAUCAUAACUUAUUAAUGAGCCGCCCUCGGUAUUCGGGAGCAAUUGAAAAGACAAAAUUAUAAAACCCCUUUUCUCCCAAUUCAAACAGUUUCACCAGCCCAUUUCAAAAUUAAGGAUAAUCUUCCUCUCCCCAUCUUCCCGACUAUCUUCGUUCAAAACUGCAACAAUAGCCUCCUCCCAAAACCCAGACAACAACUUACCGGAAAAAUCCACCCCUAUUCUUGUGAACCCUCUGUCCAGUGUUCCUGCUCCCCUUACAAUCGCUUCUAACCCCACCAUGGUCACUCCAAACCCUAACACCACGCCUAACACAUCCACCAAUGCAGCCACGACCUCCACCCAGAACCCCCCAGAGACCGAUUUACAGAAAAUGAUGCGUGAAUUCCCCAACGAGAAACAAUUUUCACACGCCAACACCCCUUCCCAACAUUACCAAAUCCCUGAAACCCACCAUCUCAAAGCACCAACACCCACAGAUCGAAUGUACCACCGAUCCAAUGGUUGGACCGCCAUGCCCCUUACUCUGCUGGAAAAGGGAGUCUGAUUGCCCUUUCACGCGUUCAUCGUCACCAUUCUAGGGUUUUAUUGGCAUCGGCUUCACCCAGCGGUGCUGAACUCCUACAUCAACAUCAUCGCCUUCAUCGUUUUCUGCCACAAGAUUGGGAUUCCACCUUCAAUCGAUUUCUUCACCACCCUGCACCAACUCGAAAAUUCCCGCGAACCGGGUUUCAAGGUACUGAGAAAAUAACCCCCAAAACCCAACUUCAAGUUUGACAAACGUCCACUGAUGGAUACCCCUUCGAGCAACAGCGGUUGGCACAAAGAUUGGUUCUUCGUCAAAGGACCAGAAACACCCAAACUACCGGACUGGGCUUCCUACAAACGCCUGAAUGUAGACUUCGGCGACACCCCUCCCGAACGAGUGAAAGAAAUGGCAAAAUUGCUCGAGAAACUACCCCUAAAAGAAUGGAGCUUCAGCCUCUUAACCAAACAGGCAUGGCUAUACGACCACCAAUGUAAGUUCUGAAUUUACUACUUAUAUGAUCUUUGAAUUCUCUUCUGUCAUUAUUCUGAGAAACCCCCUUUGUUUUCUAUAGUAUCCCUCAUCAAACCAACUUCAGCCGAGAGAAAAGACACAACUGAAAGACCUGUUCAACCCCAAAACACCGAAGCCGAACCUACCACGAACACCGCCGAAGACCCAACUCAUCCUCAACUGAAAAGAAGAGCAAUCAAAAAACCAAAAAACAUCCCAACCCCGAUUCUCACAGAAAGCCUUCUCGACAUGCUGAUCUCCGAAAGAACUCAGAUUCUUCGGACCAAAAAGAAACGUGCGAAGAUCACCCUGCUCACCACCGAAGAACUGAGGGUUCCCUCGGCCGAAGCCAGACAACCCCAAAGCAUACCCACCGAACCAGACAAACCUGCUGACCCCAUGCCCCAACUAAUCAGAAAACGAAAAAACACCACUGACAGCCAACCGGAACCUUCAAAAAAGGCCCACACCCCAACUCCAUCCGAUCACCCAACAUCGCCUCCCCAACAACCAUCCUCUACCCAUUCACCGGAAGCCGUUCGAUCCCCAACUUUAUGCCUAGAGGAUAAUGAAAAAUGCCCUCUAGACCUGUUUAAUCACUUCGUCCUUCCAACCGACGACCACCACUUCGGGGACAUAUCCAUUGCCGAACUCGUCCGUGCCGACAUGAUUCAUCAGGCCCGCGCAAGUCACUUUCAAUUAAAAAUUACAGUAAUCAUCUUCUUUUCUGAAUCAACUCACCACUGACCCCUAAACACCUGCAGGCUGCUGAAGUCUCCGGACGGCUUGCUCAAAGAUAUAAAGAUAUCGAAGCCGAAGAGAAAGUCGCCCGUAGAUAAAACGAGUUCCUGAAAAUUGCCAUACCAAAGGAGAACGUCUUUUUCUUCUGCGAAGGACUCAAAACAGACAACGCCAAAUUGAAAGAACAAUUGGCAGUGUCUGAAGCACUUCGAAAAAUACGACGAGAUCAUAAAAGUAAAUGAAGUGCUGAGACAAAAUAACCAAAUACUCACCUACCAAUCCAUCGACGUAAUGAAGAAAGAGCAAGCACAACUUCAAAUCCGGGCUGCUCUGGAAAAAGAACUCCGAGACCUCAAAGCCCUUGGCCCGCCCUUAACCGAAGAACUAAAAAACCAAAUCCGAAGCAAAUAUCGAAGAUCUCCCGAACUCACCAACGAGAUUGUACAAAUGUACGCCGAAGGCUAUGAAGCAGCCCGAAGCAAAGGAAAAGCUAAACUUGUCGUUGCAGCUCUAAACCCUUUAUUGCUCGAGUCUUACGACAACGAGGACGAGGAAAGUUCCGAAGACAACCCAAUAAACGACCCUCCACCAACAUAGCUUUAGAUUUCAAACUUGUAAACCUGUAAACUUGUAACUUUUUAUAUGCUUCAAUUAAUACAUUUUUUUUUAAUUUCUCCUAUAAAAAAAUUCCAUAGCUGCUUUGCAAGACAACUAACAUCAAUAAACAAACAUUCACUUAAAAUGAAUAAAAAAUAACCACUUAAAAAACCGAAUUCAACACUUGUCAUCCAUUAAACAGAUACUAUCAAACAAUCAUGUUCACCUCCUAUGGGUCGAACAGAUCCCACCAAACACCAAUCAAUCCUGUUCACCUCCCAAGGGUCGAACAGAUUUCUCCAAACACCUGAAUAAUCAUGUUCACCUCAUAAGGGUCGAACAGAUACCAUGAAACACCAAAUAAUCCUGUUCAGCUCCGAAGCGUCGAACAGAUUCCACCGAACUCCCAAACAACCCUGUUCAACUCCGAAGGGUCGAAUAGAUUCCACCAAACCCCCAAACAAUCCUUUUCACCUCCUAAAAGUCGAACAGAUUCCACCGAACUCCCAAACAAUCUUGUUCCCAAGGGUCGAACAGAUUCCACCGAACCCCCAAACAAUCUUGUUCACCUCCUAAGGGUCGAACAGAUUCUACCAAACACCAAACAACCAUGUUCACCUUCUAAGGGUCGAACAGGUCCCACCAAAUAAUCAUGUUCACCUCCGAAGGGUCGAACAGAUUCCACCAAACACCAAGCAACCAUGUUCACCUCCUAAGGGUCGAACAGGUCCCACCAAACAAUCAUGUUCAACUCCGAAGGGUCGAACAGAUCCCACCUAACACCAAGCAACCAUGGUCCCCUCCUAAGGGUCGAACAGGUCCCACCAAACAAUCAUGUUCACCACCGAAGGGUCGAACAGAUUCCACUAAACACCAAGCAACCAUGUUCACCUCCUAAGGGUCGAACAUGUCCCACCAAACAAUCAUGUUUACCUCCGAAGGGUCGAACAGGUCCCACCAAACACCAAGCAACCAUGUCCACCUCCUAAGGGUCGAACAGAUACCACCAAACCCCCGAAUCACCGCGUUCGCUCUCAGGAGUCGAACAAAUUCCAACAGAUUAACAAUCACAUAAAUUAACACUAGAGAGAAAAAAUGCUUCUUUUAUUCGUAAUCAUUGGAAGAAUUACAGACUCAAAACUCAGACUUCAACCCUACUGAAAAUAUUGCUGAAGUCUUCCCGCAACCUCUGGUCUUCCUAAUACCAUCUUCAAAGGCUAAUCUAUAUACACCACUAUUAACCGACCUUGGAAGUAUUGCCGAAGCUUUCGACUAGCUAUUAUCAGAGCAAAAGCGAACUUCUCAAGGUUCGGAUACAUUGUCUCUGUAUCCUUUAGGGCAUGGUUCACAUAAUAAACCGGGUGCUACUUACCCCCAAUCUCCCGCACCAAAACUUCUCCCACAACCAACGAACUCGCCGCCAGAUACAAGUACAGAGGUUCAGCAGGAACUGGCUUCACCAACAAAGGAGUCGAAUACAAAUACCUUUUUAUCCCCUGAAAGGCGUCCUCACAUUCAAAAGUCCACUGAAAACUCUUCGCAUUCUUCGACCCUUUCAACGUAUCAAAGAAUAGCAAACAUCUUUCUGCCGACUUAGACAUGAACCUCCCCAAAGCUGCAAUCCGACCCGUCAAACGCUGAACAUCCUUGUACGAUUGUGGGGACUUCAUGUCCAGAAUAGCUUGAAUCUUCUCAGGAUUAGCCUCAAUCCCCCUUUUGAUGAACAGAUAACCCAGGAACUUCCCCGCACCCAGUCCGAAGGUACACUUAGAUGGAUUCAACCUCAGAUUGUAGUGCUGAAUAGUUUGAAAACAAUCCUCCAAAUCAUCCAGAUGACCCCGAACUGUCAUACUUUUAACGACCAUGUUAUCUACAUAAACUUCCAUGCUUUGCCCUAACUGCUUCGUGAACACUUAAUUCAUCAUCCUUUGAUAUGUGGCUCCCGCGUUCAAUAAGUCAAAGGUCAUCUUCUUAUACGCAUAUAACGACCAAUGAGUGAUGGAAGGUUGUUUUUGGGAUGUCUUCCUUGCACAUAAAAAUCUGAUGCUAUCCUGAAAAAGUGUCCAUAAAGCUAAGUAAAGCAUACCCCGAAGUCGCAUCGCUAAGCUGGUCGAUGUGUGGCAGGGGAUAGAAGUCAUUCGGGCACACUUUAUUUAGAUCGGUGUAAACUAUACAAACCCACCACUUCCCAUUCUAUUUUGCACCAACACAACAUUCGUCAUCCACUCCGGAUAGUCAAUCUCAAAUAUGAAGUCUACAGCCAAGAGCUUUGCAAUCUUCUCAUCAAUUAUCUUCUACCUUUCCGGGGCGAAAAUCCUUCUCUUCUGCCGAACCGAUUUCUUCGUCGGGUUGUUCAGCAACCUUCCAAUCCAGCCCAGGCAUAUCACUGGGAACCCAGGCGAAGAUAUCUGCAUAGCACUGUAGGAAUUCCACCAAGCUUGUUUGAAUGCAAUCCUGACCCGAUCCUUAGUCUUAUCCUUCUUCCCUGGGAUCAAUUCAACCUCUUCGGUCAAUCCGGCAGGCGUAACCAAGGGCUCAGUACUGCUUUCUGUAAACAGUUCGAUCUCUAUCGUCAUAGCUUGCUUCUGCUUACUAACCCCUACUCCCGAAGUGAUCAGUGCGUUCCAAUAACAUCUCAUUGCCAAAUCAAGAUCCCCAGCGACCUCCCCAACUCCAUGUGGCGUAGGGAACUUAAUCUUAAAGUGAGGGAUCAACGUCACCGCCUGGAGGACUGUCAAAGUGGGUCUUCCCAGAAUCGAAUUGUACGACGAAUCCACAUGCACCACGAAGAAUCUGCACAUGAUUUUCACCUGAUGUGAAGCCGUUCUGAAGACAAUUGGUAACUCAAUCAUCCCUGCAAGUCUAAUAGGCUCGUUGCUGAACCCAUACAAUGGAGACUUCUGCCUGAUCCAUCUUUCUCCCGUCUAGAUUCAUCCUCUGGUAAGCGUGCAUACAAGAUAUCCACCGUAGACCCAUUGUCUAUCAUCAUUCGCUUCAUAUCCACCGAACCCACCUGUGCAGUAAUUACCAGUGCUACCUCGUGUGGUUCGAUCGGUUCUGCAGGGAAAUCCUCAUCAGGGAAUGAGAUCACUGAACCAGGGUAUGAUCUUUCACGCCUUGCAGGUUGGUCCGCCACUGACAAUACCGUAUCCAAGUAUCCACGUCGCUUUCUUCGGGUCACUCUCCCCACAGUUCCGCCUGUGAUUACAUCCACAACCUGGCGUGUUACCUGAGUCUGAUUUCGCUGUAUGGGCUGACUGAUCUAGACAGGUGCACUAUUUGCAUGAUGUGUCCUCGGGGCUUCUCGUCCCACCACAUACUGAACCAACGCCUCAUUAUGCACGUUCUUUUCUAUUAUCUCCAUCAGGCCCCAGCAAACCUCCGUAGCAUGUCCUGCUGACUGAUGGUAGUCACAAUACUUGCUCGGAUUCCUUAUGCCUGGUUUUAUGUUAUCUCUGGGCAGUUCGAAGCAAGGUUGCUCCCUCAUCUGUUCCAAUAUGGUGGCUCGAUCAGUAUUGAGCUUAGUGUAUACCCUAUUCACCUUCUGACUCGGGAAAGGUGGGCGACCUCCCCCCGAACCCCCGUUGUUACUGUACCUCCUUUGAUACCCAUCAGACCUAUCGUUAUUACUGUCGUACCUCCUCUGGUUUCCAUCCAAUUUGUUAUUAUCUUUUUCCCUCAGUUUCUCUGAUGUGCCCUACUUCAAACUGCUCAUGGCUUCCUCCACCACUAUGAAGCCUUGGGCUUUCUCAACUGCUUCGACCAAGCUUUUCAGGUGAUUAAACAUCAGCUUCUUCACCAAUUUCUCCGACUUCACGAAAUCCAACCCGUUCUGAAAGAGCCCUACUGCUUCGAGGUCAUUGAGAUCUGUCACCUAACCUAAUGCCUCCCUGAAUCGUUUCACGUACUGGCCCAAAGUCUCAUUGGAAUGUUGUCUGAUCUGUGACAACGAUCCUGUGGGCUUUCCCCUUCUCUUGUUACUCUCGAACCGGGCAUGGAACUUGUCACAACUCUUCCCAUGACGAGACCGAGUUCGGGGCCAAGGUCAUCAUCCACUGCCUGACAUCUUUCCUCAAGGUCUUCAUGAAGGUAUGACACUUGGUCGCAUAUGUGUAAUCAUAGUAAUGCAUAAAUCUAUCAUAUGCCUGACUGUGUUCGUACGGAUCUCCCGAGCCAUCAUAACUUUCCACAUAAGGAAGCUUUCUGCUAAGGUCUGCCUUUUCUUGGACGAUCUCGGGAGAGAAAUGGGACGCCUUUUUGCCCAAACUCACCUUCCCCUGUUUGACUUUGGCCAAUUCUCUUUGAAGCUCCUCCAAAUUUCUGGCCAACAAUUCCAUCCCAUCCGGCUAUGUGGGCACUUCUUUCUUGGGAGAACCCUUCUUUCCAUGGUUGGUUCGACCCUUUCCAUCCGAACUGUCCGCCCUCAAAGGGCUUCGUCUGUCGAUCUUGCUGUGCCGGGAACCCUCAGGGCGGUGUGCCAUCUUUUGAUUCCCGGGUGUGCGACCACCCAACCUGCUUCGGUCACAAGAGCGACUCCAAAGCCUAUUCUUGGAUCGCCUUGUACCUUCAGCACUCCAUGCCCUGGAUUGUCUGUCUAGAGACCUACCCAGCCUUCUGGUUUGGUUGUGGUUGGAGGCCUCGUUUUCAUGUUCGGCCACCAGGACCAUCUGUUUCACAAUCUCUUCCUUCUGCUGCAACAGCACCCUGUGUUUCCACUGUCUCCUGCGCCUUUUUGGCCAAAACAAAUUUUUUAUCCUCCUGAUCGUCUUGGGGUCAGGUUCGAGGAGGUGUCUCCUACCCUUCUCCAAUCGUUCUUAGUCGAGAAUAGCCUCCUCCUGACCUCAUCGCAAUCUCUACUUUCGGAUCCUACCGAGGUGCUAUGUAGACCGAGCCGCUCAUGGAUGCUCUUCGAUGGCCCCAACCUAUCUUUAACGGAUCCCCUCUGUUGAGAAGAACCUCCUGUCGUCGAUUGUCCCACAACUGAAAACGUCCUACUGUUCACCAUGAUUUCAGUCACAGGAAGUUGAUAAUUGUGAUUGAAAAUUCAACAACACUAGAAAGCCCUCCUUCUAGCGCCAAUAUUAACGCCAAGAUCUGUCCACGCCUCCAAUCACCAAAGCGCGUCCAAUCCUGCACAGAAACGAGUAAACACUGAAAACUUGACGGCCUGGGCCGCCGAGGAUAGCUCCGGUGUGAGAAUAAUUAUAGGCUGAUAUAAUGUUAACAAUGGAGGCUCAACGCUCUAGUGCUGGAAAGUAAUAAUUUGCAUGUACCUUAGAAUCAUAGAAAAAAGCCUUGUAUUUAUAAUGUUCUCAUCACCUUCAUGAAAUCCUUCUCCAGAUCAGAUUAAGGUUCUCACCCAAACAAUAAUUCCUUAAUAGGAUUGUACCAAAUCUCCUAGAAUUAAGGAAGUUGGUUUAUAACCUAAUACUUCUUUCCAUAUCCAGAGACCAAGUAUAAUUAAGAACCUUAAUUCACAAAUCUCCCGUCUACCAAAACAACCCCUUGUCCAAACCCACAUAAUACCAUAUGGAUAAUAGCCCACUGUAUUUCCUAGGACCAAAUAUCCUUGGCCCAACAUUCCAAGCACAUGUUAAGUCUUUCUGCCUGACCAUCAGAUUGUGAGUGGUAAGAUGAGCUCGUACAUAACUUCACUCCCAAUUGCUGAAAUAAGGACUGCCAAAGUGUACUCAGAAAUUUUUUAUCCCUAUCACUAACAAUUGUUUGAGGCAACCUAUGCAUCCUAUAUAUGCGAUCCACAAAAUUUAGCAACAAAUACAACGGUUAAAGGAUGUUUGAGACCAAUAAAAUGCUCAUAUUUAGAAAACCUGUCUGCUACUACUAUAAUGGCAUUAUUUCCUUCUGAAAGAGGAAGUCCUUCAAUGAAAUCCAUAGCUAUGCCAUCCCAUGGCUUAUCAGGAAUCAUUAAUGGUUGUAGCAAACCAGGAUAUAUUGAACAUUUUCAGUUUUGUUUAUUUGACACACAUCACACUCACCAAUCCAGUGCUUGAUGUCUGAUACACAGCCAGCCCAAGUAAAAUAUAUGCCAAUUCUUUUAAGAGUAGCUUGAAUUCCUGAGUGUCCACCCAAUGGACUAACAUGGAAUACUGAAAACACUCUCUUCCUGAUAUCCCAAUACGAUCACCCCUUGUUGCCUUAAUAUGCCCUGUUUGAAAGACAAUUUAGAAUUUACAUCUGCAUUAAGGGAUAACUGUUGGAUAAACAAUUGAACUUGUGGAUCAUCCUUAUAGGAAUUUGUGAUAUCCUGCAGGCACAGAGGUACACUACCGGACAUAGCCUGAAUAUAAACCAUUUGUUCCCUCCACCUCUCCAUGUUCUUGUCUUGAAAGUGCAUCUGCUAAUGCAUUUUCAGUACCUUUUUUAUAGGUGAUUUCAUAGUCAUAUCCCAACAUUUUACUUGGCCAUUUCUGUUGCAGAAAAGUUGUCAAUCUUUGCUCCAUAAAAAAUUUAAGACUUUGAUGAUCAGUCUUAAUAAUGAAAUGUGAGCCCAGUAGACAAGUCCUCCACUUAUUCACAGCCUGCAAUAUUACCAACAACUCUUUUCAUAUACUGAAAGCCCCAUAUGUUUAGGAGCUAAUGCUUUACUUAAGAAUGCUAAAGGUCUACCCUUUUGCAUAAGUACUGCUCCGAUUCCUCUAGCACUUGCAUCAGUUUCUACCACAAAUGGUAUCUUGAAAUCAGGGAGAGCUAGUACUGGACUAGAACUCAUUGCUUGUUUGAGUUUUUGAAAAGCAGUUGUAGCCUCCUCAGUCCAUACAAACUGAUCCUUCUGCAACCGGUGGUCCAAUCGGUAAACCCGAUUGACCCGUUUUUUUUACCAAAAAAAUUUUAAUAUUAAAAGUAACCACAUUUAUUAAUAUUGUAACUCAUUUUUAUUAUGUUUUUAUUCAUAAAAAACGAGAGUUUUUAAAAUUUUAUUAAUUACUAAUAAUAUGUAUUAAUAACGUCAGUGUGUUAAUAACGGUUUGACCACUGGUUGAACCAAUGAUCCAUUCACCCGGUAUCUUUUCCGGUUCGAUGAAUGGUCCAAUUUUGAGAACCUUGGUUUAAAGAAUCUAAAUUAGGACACAAAGUUCUUUUUCUUAUAAUUAGGUGUCUUGUUUUAGAGAGAGAAAUUAUUUUUAUUUUCCUUUUCAUCCCUUCACUUCAGGCUGGGACUAGAGAUUGAGAGUCUGUUCUUUGGUUUCUUUUCCUUUUCCUUUUACAGCUCAGAACAAGGAGUAGAAUUGGUUGUACAUAAAACCAUUUUAUAAUUGAAUAUAACUUUACUAUUGUUUGCCAUUUAAUUCGUGCUUACUUAGUAUCUUGUUAGAUAAUUAUUUUAUGUGUUCUUAUUAGUUAAUUAAGUUGAUUAGAGUUUUCUUUAUCAAGAUUGAUUUGAUGCAAUUAUUAUUAGUACCAAUUUUAUUGUUUUUAUUUUAAUUCGUAUGGCUAACUAAAUUUUUAAUACCUAGGAUGAAGAUGAAAUUAGGUAUUUCAUAACAAUAUUUUCUUUUCAUUCUGACAUUAGUGUCUAAUUAUUUUUGCCUUCAUAUUUACCUUCGUUUAAAAUUUCAUAUAAUUCUUAUAUUGAUUGCGAGGUUUUGAUAGAGCUGCAAACGAACCGAAACGAACCUAACUCGAACACUUUUAGUCGAACUCGAACAUGUUCGAGUAACUUGAUUGAACCAACAGUUAUAUACGAGUUCAGAUCGUUUGGUGUUCGCGAACAUGAUCGAGUUUGCGAACAGUUCGCGAACAAGGCGAACAUAAGCUUGUUCGCGAACAUAGCGAACAUUCAUGAACACAAACUAUGUUCACGAACACAAACUUAUUAACAAACACAAACUUAGAACUCUGAAGCAAAAAAUAGUUAAAUAAUCUACGAGUCUACGUAUUCAAUCAAAAAUUAGACCAAAUAUUAUAAUUAUCAUUCAUCCAAAAAGACCAAAACCAAAAAUAAUUACUUAGAACUUAAAAGUUAGAACUUAAAAUUUAAAAGUUAAAAGUUAACAAGUACUUAGAAAUUCUUGAUUUAUAUUAAUAUUCAAAAGCCUUUCAACUCUUCAAGAUCCAUCCACUUGAAGCAAAGUCUACAAACAAAUUAUUAUCAAAAACUCACAAUUAUUAGUAAUGUUUUUCUUUUGUUGUCAUUUUUAAUUAAUAUCAAGUUGUUUUUUUUAAAAAAAUUAAUAUCUAGUUUUUAUUUUCUAUCUUAAAAUUUUGUAUAGUUUUUUAAAGUUUCGAAAUUAUUCAGUAAAUAAUUUAAUGAUUAUUACAGUCUCGAUACAUACAUUGAUAACUUGAUUUCUCUAUUCGCUAUCUCGAUUUGACGAUUACAAUAGGUCAUGUAAAUGUAAGCAAUUUUAUUGUAUCAUUCUUUAAUUAAUGUCAAAUUGUCAUUGCAUGAUGAUUAAUGAUUAGAAGUAAGAAUAGGCCAGUUCACCAUAGCAACAAUUUUAUUAGGACCCCUUCCUGUGAAAUGAUGUGUCCCAGGUAUUCCACUUUAGACUGUGCAAAUGAACAUUUUGAUUUUUUUGCAAGCAAGGAAUGUGUUCUCAGUAAUGAUAAGAGUACUGUCCAAAUGCUCUAUAUGGGUCUGUAAAUCUGGACUAUAAACCAAUAUAUCAUCAAAAAAUACCAAAAUAUAUCUACUAAACCAUAACAUCACCAAAAGUAACCAAGUAUUUUAGGAAUAUCAAUUUUCUAUAACGGGCAAUGCAAUGUAUAUAAAACAUAAAUGCAAGCACAUGUGCAAAAUAGAAAACUUACCCCGACCAACACAUGGUCAGAAAAGACAUCUAAAGCUGCAAGGAUGCCCCUGAAAGAUUGUAAAAGAGCAUAACAUUAGCUACACUAUGGAAGUGAGGAAUACAGAUCUACAAAUAAAAUAGCUUGUUGUGUAACAUUUUAGUGAGAAGAAAAAAUCCAUAGUUUCAAAAUAUAUUCAUAUUUUAUUGUCAGAAUAAUAUAAACAAUCCAUAACAGUCUACAACUAUUAAAAAAAUAAUCACCACAAGAAAUGGAUGUGAAUAAUAAGAUAAUGAAAUAAGAUCCAUAAACUUGAACGUCUCCUAUACCAUUCAACUCUUACAUUUGAUGAACACUUCAGAUUAACGGUUACAUGUGGUUCGUGGGUUAAUGCUUGUAUCCAUCAGGUAAAUCUCACUUCUGAAAGGAGGGGGGAUUUCCUGAGAUAGCCUAAUAAAAUGAAAGUUGGAAACAAUUAUGUAAUUUAUGUACACCGAGUCCAUCAUGCUUUGGAAUUUGGUCCUUAUGCAAACAUUUAUAGACUUCGAGUCCUUGACAGAAAGCUAAAUGAUAUCACUGAAGCCCUUCAAAGGGAGUAGAUAUAGACCGAGUUUUAUAGUAAUCUUCUACGACAAAGCGCUCUUUUGAUUUCUGAUCUAGUAGCAAUUCUACAGUGUAGAUGCUGAUAGUCUUCAGACACUUAGUGCAUUGAACAUAUCAAAUCUUGCCUACCUAGAAAUUAGAUUAUAGCCAGAUAAAAAAGGCAAUAUAAUUUCAGGGUUACCAUCAGUAAAGCAUUUGAAUUUACAAUUAUAUACAAUCCACAACUUUUAUAGUCGUCAAAAAGUUCUCAUAAAGAAAUUCUUUUUAUAUUCUCAAAUGGAAAGUUAAAAUGUGAUAAACAAUAAGCAUUGGUAACAGGAACUAAAAGCCAAAACCCAAUACUAUAGGAUCAAGAAACUAUAGUUUAGAAACAUUGGCAGAAAAUAUUUAAGUAUAUCUAAUCAAUAACUUUUAAUUAACAUCCGAACAUCCCGUGAGCUCACAAUUGAAAUUAUUAGAGUAUAUUAAUAUUAGUUCUUGGUCACCAAAUAUGUUUGGUACCCACACAUACUUGGCCACUACUAGUAGCCUAUUUACAAGGCUUUAGUACUCUUAGUAAUAAAAUAAAAACAAUAUUUAAUAAAUCAAUUUUGUCUCUAACAGAAAUAAUAUAAGAACCUACGUCAACGACUUCCCAUGAAAGACAAUUGGAGGAGCGAUAGGAGCAAGUAUGCAAAAACCGAUGUGAAGCUGCACAAUUACAAAUUGCAAUAGCAUUUUUUUCAAGAACAAACAAAAAUAAUAGUAGUGGCUCUUUUACUGAACUUACCAAGUAGAACAGGAAAAAGCAACCAAACUUCAAGGCACUGUCAAUUCUGCAAAUUAGAAACAAAUAGCCAUUUACAACAACUAUCAGCAAUAUUUGAUAUAAACAGAACAAUGUUUAUGUUAAAACCGUGAUUAAAACUAAAAAAUAAGCCCAAGAGCUAUCUGGUGAUUACCUAAUCUGAUGCACUGUAUAUAUGCAGUAAAUAUAUCAGUCAAUACAUGACCAUAUAAUUACUACUAAACUAACUUCUUUUCAAAGUCAAAUCAGACUACUAUGUCCAUAUAAAAUGGAGCAAAAUAAAUAAUAAAUUAACACUGAAAAAAUUACCUUUAGAUCAUUGAUAUGGACAUAUACACGAGUAUAAAAAUUCAGCAAAUCUAGUAAGGUUAGAGGCUGGUAAUUUGUCAUGUAAAUAUAUAAAAGGAUUCAGAUUAUUGAUUGUCAAUCCUACUAGAAGUGGCGGCACCAGGAUUUUGUUGGGGGGCAAAAAUUUUUUUUUAUAAAAUUUAAUAGUUAAUAUGGGCAAGUAGAGCAUAAAUAGUUGCAAGAAAGAAAAUUUUGACACCUGGACAAAGUCAACCAUGUCAGAAGCUCAAUACUGAAGCCC